CCUGCCUCUCGAGCCAUUGCACAUGUGGCUGCUAUGUCACACGUAUCAGUGGUGGCAGAGAGGAGAGAGGUUAUAUCAACCCUCAGUGUUCUGACUUGUAAAUACAGGGAAGCUUUAUAUUCCCUGAAA